GACGAGCGCUGGCGGCGUGCUUAACACAUGCAAGUCGAACGGAAAGGCCCUGCUUUUGUGGGGUGCUCGAGUGGCGAACGGGUGAGUAACACGUGAGUAACCUGCCCUUGACUUUGGGAUAACUUCAGGAAACUGGGGCUAAUACCGGAUAGGAGCUCCUGCUGCAUGGUGGGGGUUGGAAAGUUUCGGCGGUCGGGGAUGGACUCGCGGCUUAUCAGCUUGUUGGUGGGGUAGUGGCUUACCAAGGCUUUGACGGGUAGCCGGCCUGAGAGGGUGACCGGCCACAUUGGGACUGAGAUACGGCCCAGACUCCUACGGGAGGCAGCAGUGGGGAAUAUUGCACAAUGGGCGGAAGCCUGAUGCAGCAACGCCGCGUGCGGGAUGACGGCCUUCGGGUUGUAAACCGCUUUCGCCUGUGACGAAGCGUGAGUGACGGUAAUGGGUAAAGAAGCACCGGCUAACUACGUG
rnacentral:rRNA from 1 species